AUUGAACGCUGGCGGCAGGCCUAACACAUGCAAGUCGAACGAGUGUCGGCCGUGUGAUUAAUGUCUGGGAAACUUCCUGCUGGAGCGGGAUAACUACUGGAAACGGUAGCUACUACCGCAUACCAUCAUAUGUUCCCAGAUGGGAUUAGCGAGUUGGUGGGGUAACGGCUCACCAAGGCGACGAUCCCUAGCUGGUCUGAGAGGAUGACCAGCCACACUGGAACUGAGACACGGUCCAGACUCCUACGGGAGGCAGCAGUUGGGAAUAUUGCACAAUGGGCGGAAGCCUGAUGCAGCCAUGACGCGUGUAUGAAGAAGGCCUUCGGGUUGUAAAGUACUUUCAGCGGGGAGGCGUUAACCGAAGAAGAAGCACCGGCUAACUCCGUGCCAGCAGCCGCGGUAAUUG
rnacentral:rRNA from 1 species